rnacentral:rRNA from 1 species
CCACGGGCGGCAGCAGUGGGGAAUAUUGGACAAUGGGCGAAAGCCUGAUCCAGCCAUGCCGCGUGUGUGAAGAAGGCCUUCGGGUUGUAAAGCACUUUCAGUGGGGAAGAAAGCCUUGGGGCUAAUACCCUCGAGGAAGGACAUCACCCACAGAAGAAGCACCGGCUAACUCCGUGCCAGCAGCCGCGGUAAUACGGAGGGUGCGAGCGUUAAUCGGAAUUACUGGGCGUAAAGCGCGCGUAGGCGGUCUGAUAAGCCGGUUGUGAAAGCCCCGGGCUCAACCUGGGAACGGCAUCCGGAACUGUCAGGCUAGAGUGCAGGAGAGGAAGGUAGAAUUCCCGGUGUAGCGGUGAAAUGCGUAGAGAUCGGGAGGAAUACCAGUGGCGAAGGCGGCCUUCUGGACUGACACUGACGCUGAGGUGCGAAAGCGUGGGUAGCAAACAGGAUUAGAUACCCUGGUAGUC